rnacentral:rRNA from 1 species
CCCUUAGAUGUUCUGGGCCACACGCGUGCUACACUGAACGGUUCAAUGGGUAAGGUAGUGCGAAAGCAUGACCUAAUCUCGAAAUCCGUUCGUGCUGGGGAUAGAAGCUUGCAAUUAUCCUUCUUGAACGAGGAAUACCUUGUAAGCGUGAGUCAUCAUCUCACGCUGAAUACGUCCCUGCCCUUUGUACACACCGCCCGUCGCUCCUACCGAUUGAGUGUUCCGGUGAGGCUUUGGGAGAAUGGCCUCAACAUGAGUUUAUCGUGUUUUGCCGUUUGAACUUAGUCAAACCUUAUCACUUAGAGGAAGGAGAAGUCGUAACA